GUUGAGGUCUGUCCCGAUGGGGCUUUUUCUAUAAACCUAGGUUAUUGGAAAUGCCUCAUAGAGUAAUUAUGUGCUUUCCUUUUCUCUUAGAACUACAUGUUAGAUCUGUGGGGAAGAACUACAAGACAGCU
rnacentral:snoRNA from 1 species